rnacentral:rRNA from 1 species
UGAGGAAUAUUGGUCAAUGGACGGAAGUCUGAACCAGCCAUGCCGCGUGCAGGAUGACGGCCCUAUGGGUUGUAAACUGCUUUUAUUCGGGAAUAAACCUCUUUACGAGUAGAGAGCUGAAGGUACCGAAUGAAUAAGCACCGGCUAACUCCGUGCCAGCAGCCGCGGUAAUACGGAGGGUGCAAGCGUUAUCCGGAUUUACUGGGUGUAAAGGGCGCGCAGGCGGGAUAAAAAGUCAGUGGUGAAAUCCUACAGCUUAACUGUAGAACUGCCUUUGAUACUUUUAUUCUUGAGUUCGGGAGAGAGAGACGGAAUUCCAGGUGUAGUAGUGAAAUACGUAGAUAUCUGGAAGAACACCAGUUGCGAAGGCGGUCUCUUGGUCCGACACUGACGCUGAGGCGCGAAAGCGUGGGGAGCAAACA